rnacentral:rRNA from 1 species
AUUGAACGCUGGCGGCAGGCCUAACACAUGCAAGUCGAACGGUAACAGGAAGCAGCUUGCUGCUUUGCUGACGAGUGGCGGACGGGUGAGUAAUGUCUGGGAAACUGCCUGAUGGAGGGGGAUAACUACUGGAAACGGUAGCUAAUACCGCAUAACGUCGCAAGACCAAAGAGGGGGACCUUAGGGCCUCUUGCCAUCGGAUGUGCCCAGAUGGGAUUAGCUAGUAGGUGGGGUAACGGCUCACCUAGGGGACGAUCCCUAGCUGGUCUGAGAGCAUGACCGGCCACACUGGAACUGAGACACGUUCCAGACUCCUACGGGAGGCAGCAGUGGGGAAUAUUGCGCAAUGGGCGCAAGCCUGAUGCAGCCAUGCCGCGUGUAUGAAGAAGGCCUUCGGGUUGUAAAGUACUUUCAGCGGGGAGGAAGGGAGUAAAGUUAAUACCUUUGCUCAUUGACGUUACCCGCAGAAGAAGCACCGGCUAACUCCGUG